AUGUCUAUCUCAAAAUCAGAUACACAGUUCGUGCAAAAUAUGAAGGGGGGCAGCGUGGUGUACAUGAUUGCUUUUUUGUUCAUCGGGUGCCUUCUUAUGGUUGGACAAUGUCGUCCUGAGCCCCCAAGCACCUAUGGAGAUGGCCAUGCCAACGCGACUAUGGCAGUCUCGUCAAUAGAUGAGAGCAAAGUUACUGUGAAAUUUUGUGUUAUUAGAAAUUGCAAGACAAAAGGUGAAUUCUGGGGCUGGAAUGGAGGGUGCUACUGUUGCCUCAAUGCGCCAGGCAUACCAUGUUUUGAACACCAAUAUCAGUGUAAUCAGAAUUGCCCACCAAUCCGAAAUAAGGUUGUGCAAUUCGAGAAUAUAUAA
rnacentral:rRNA from 1 species